GCCCUUAUAGCAAAGCGGUCAAUGCGUCUCCCUUGUAAGGAGAAGGUCCCAGGUUCAAAUCCUGGUGAGGGUA